CACUCGCAAUAAUCAGUGCACGUGUAUGGCACUGACGUUCUUGGCCUACCAUGCUGAGGGGUUUCAUUUUGAUGCAGACGUUCUUGACAGAGUUCUUGAAAAUGGAGACUCGCUCUAUGCGUGGACAAUAUGUGGGCUAGGACUACGUUUAAUCAGCAAUCAUUUAACCAAAGAGGAAAUGCCAAAGAUAGUUCACACCGACAACAAUGCAUACACGGUUACACAGUUGGAGCCGAAAUUUGGUUUGGUGAGGGAUCGCAGCAAUUCCCUAGUAGAUCCUUAUUUGUUGCCACUUGCCAGACAACUUGAGUGCCUCUCACAAGAUGUCACUCAUGCUUUUCUGAUUGUGGCUCCAGAGUGCUUUGCGGUUUUUCGUGAUAGGUCAGGAUGCUAUGGUUUUUUUGAUUCGCACAGUCGAUCUUCAGUAGGUUUGCCAGUCCCAAACGGAACUGCGAUUAUGAUGACAUUUUCUCACUUAGAUGACUUAGUCAACCAUGUGCAUGAGCUCCUUUCGGAUCGCAGCCCCGAUGCAAACUACGAGUUGGUACCGGUUUCCUUUGGAUUAGAACAGAUAGCAAGUGACAGACAGGUGCCGUUGGAUGUCGUAGUCAUUUCAGAGCCCACCAAAGUAACAGACGCAGCAAUAAGAGAAUGUGUUGAGACAGAUCAAGAGGAGCUGAUAGUACCACCAUGCGUCCAUGUUCAAAUAGAUUUUUCCAAAGUGAGUAAAACGAGGCGACGGACCACUAUGAAAAGGGCACUCAAGUGCCAACAAUGUAGACCGUACGAAGUUUCAAAAGAACCUGAUCCCCGUCAAAAAAAACUUCUACAAAUGAAGGUCAAGUAUGUAUCAGACACUAAUUACCGCCAACAAAAAUUAAACAGCUUUACCAAGCGAUACAGGUGUGAUAGUGCCUUUAAGAAUAAACAGAAGACACAGGUUGCUGAAAAAUACCACAGAAGUUCAACGGCCAAAAAGACUUUAAUGUCAGCAUAUGUUAGGAGAAGGUAUCAAUCUGAUCUGGCUUUUGUUGAACGACAGAAGCUGAAUCUCAGGGAAGGGUAUCACCUGGAUCCUGAUAUGCAGGUGAGAAAAAAGUUAAAUCAGAGGGAGCGGUAUCACCGGGAUCCAGCUUUUCAGGCGAGACAAAAGUUAUAUGUGAGAGAGAGGUAUCACAGGGAUCCAGCUUUUCAGGCGAGACAAAGGUUAUAUAUGAGGGAGCGGUAUCACCGGGAUCCAGCUUUUCAGGCAAGAUAUAGGGUGUAUCUAAGAGAUAAAUAUCGCAACCAUCCAGGUUUUAAGCAAAGGUGGGCUGUUUUCAUGAAAACAUGGAUGCAGAAGUAUAGAAACAAUCCUCAUUUUCAAAAUAAGAAAUAUGUGAGAGAUAGUAAUAGACAUUCUAAUGUAAGGCUACAUCAUGUUAAGCGUUGCGAAAAGAACCGUCUUAAUGGGCAGCGUAUUCGGCACAAAUUACAAUGCGCACUUCAAAUAAAGAAUAAAUACAUGACUAGAACUCAACAUUCAGCCAACAAUGUGCAGGAUCCAGCAAGCGCUGUAAUGAAAGCAGCAAUAUCGUCUUUCCGCGAAAGAGUCGCACAUGGGCCCACAUGUGUUUGUACUGUAUGCCACCGUGCUCUUUUCCUAAAUCAGGUACAGAAAUGCAAUCGAGGAAAAUAUAGCAACAACCGUGACAUAGUGGCCGCCAGCUUGACAGGUAAAUAUGUUCACGUCUGCAACAACAGUUGUUCUGCCCCAUGCACUGCCUCGCAAGAGAGAAAGCAGGAAUGGAUAUGUCACACCUGUGACUCCCACCUUAGGAGAUGUGCAAUGCCACCUCUGGCAGUUGCAAAUAAGUUGGAUCUGGCACCCAUUCCCCAAGAGCUGUCCGAUUUAAAUGUCCUCGAGAGACAGCUGAUUGCAAAAAUUAUACCUUUUGCGAAAAUUGUAGCAUUGCCCAAAGGACGGCAACGAGCUGUUCAUGGCUCAGUAGUGUGCGUACCGUCGGAAAUGGAAGCAGCAGUGAACUCACUACCUAGGCCACGUAGCGAAGCUCAACUGCUGCAGGUAAAGCUGAAGAGACGCCUUCGGUAUAAAGGACAUCAGCAUUUUUAUACGGUAAAUAUGGCGAAUGUUAUAGCUGGGCUCAGGACGCUGAUACACACUCAUCCACAGUACAGGGAUGUGUGCAUCAAUGAGAGUGCAGCAGCUGAAAGUGUCCUUGAAGGGGAAGAGGAGCCAUCCGCCCUGCCGUCAUCAUCCUUGCAGCAAGAGGCCAGCAACGCCCAAGUUACGCAGGCACAGCAUGUUGAAUGUGAUCAGGAGGAACUUCGGCCGGGCGUCAUGCUCGAUACAUGCAUGCAGCCGCUUGACAUUGCACAGGAAAGUCUUUCAUUUGGGGAUGGGAUAUUCAGCAUUGCUCCUGCCCAACAAAACAAGCCUGUUGGAUUUUUUGCUGUGCCGCAGCUGGAGGCCAUGGCCUUUCCUGUUCUGUUCCCAACGGGAAAGAACACGAUGGAUGAGGAGAGGAUCGUUAAAGUAUCACCGAGUUCUUACUUUAACACCAGAUUGUUUUCCGUGGAUCCACGCUUUGCUGAAGAUCAGGGCUACCUUUUCUUUGCCCAAUUUGUUAUUGAAACUUACAUGGCCAAUAACAGCAUGUCGAUUCAGUCGCGGAAAGGAAAACCUCACACUGCGGAUGGGAGGAAAAUUCUGAACCGGAUGAUCCAGGACAAGGAGGCGUUGGAGCGGCUCAUACAGAACAGGGAAGCGACCAGAUUUAUGCAGCCACUCCGAGGAACACCAGCAUACUGGGAGAAAGCUCACCGGGAGCUCCACGCAAUGGCCAGGCAGUUGGGGAAGCCAACAUUUUUUCUUACCUUUUCUGCGGCGGAAAUGAGAUGGCCUGAAGUCACUGCUGUGAUAAAAGCGCAGCAAGGCCAACAGGAGGGUCACUUUUCAGAUCUGGACUGGAACGCUAAAUGCGAGAUUCUCCGCAGCAAUCCAGUCACGGUCAUGCGCAUGUUUGAGAAAAGGGUAGAUGCUCUCUUAGAGCUUAUUCUGUCUCCUGCGCAGCCCAUCGGCCCAGUCGAGGACUACUUUUAUCGUGUUGAGUUUCAAGCACGAGGAAGUCCUCAUAUACACAUGGUGGUGUGGAUAAAGGACGCACCGGUGAUCGAGGAACCAGAUCCCAUCUACUGUGGCGAAGUGGUCGAAUUCAUCGACCGUUAUAUCACCUGCCACAUCCCCGAUCAAACCAAGGAUCCGGAACUCCAUGAAGUGGUUACGAGUGUUCAAACUCACAGCCGCAGUCACACCAAAUCUUGCCGAAAAGGAAAUGUCUCCUGUCGUUUUGGAUUCCCUAAACUGCCCAUGGAUGUCACCACAAUUACCUUUCCCUUUGAGGACCCGACCAGUGAUGACGAAGAGGAAAACAAUGACCCCAAGAAGAAGAGACGGAAGGAGGAAGACGCCCGUGCCAAAAGGACCAAGUUGGCGAAGAAACAGAGGGAGUCCAAGGAAAAGCUGAAACAGCUAAGAGAGCGUCUUAUGGACACACAGGUUCCGGAGGACUUGACGGACCUGCUCAAUUCGUGCCAGCUGACCCUGGGUCGGUAUAAGCACUAUGUUGAGAACCUCAGUACUGGGAUGGCUGUCCACUUGAAGCGUACACCGCAAGAAAGUUGGACUAAUGCCUACAACCCCCAUCUGCUGCGUGCGUGGAACGCCAACAUGGACAUCCAGUAUAUUCUGGAUGAUAUCAGCUGCAUCAUGUACAUGAUGUCUUACAUCUCCAAGCCGGAGCACGAGAUGACAGAGUUCCUCAAAUCUGUCAUCAAGGACGUGCAAAAGUCUGACGCCAACCAGAAGGAGGAGAUGCCAAAGAUCAUGCAGGCGUAUUCAAAGCACAGAGAGGUAAGUGCUCAGGAGGCAGUGGCACGAACAUGCAGUUUGCCCCUGAAGAAGUCCUCACGCAAUGUGGUGUUCCUCCAAACCGACGAGGACGGUUUCCGAAUGAGUCUGCCCAUGAGUCGGCUUAUGACCAUGCACCCAGAUUCAGCUGAAGUGUGGAUGUCAAGUUUGCCGGAAAAGUACGCCAACAGACCACGUACGCAGGCGUUUGAGUCUAUGUGUCUGGCAGAGUUUGCGUCUGAUUACAGGGUGGUCUACGGUCACCAGAGAGAAGGGCCAAAUGUCAUUCCCCUUUUGAACGACAUGGGUUGCAUUCAGAAGAGGACCAGGGGAAAACCUGCCGUCAUAAGAUACACGCGGUUUUCCAUGACAAAGGUUCCUGAAAAAUAUUUCAGGGCCCUUCUCAAACUCUACUUGCCCCACAGGACGGACCGUGAGUUGACCAGCGACUCCCACCCAACCUAUGAGUCAUUCUACCUGGACGGAUGGUCAAGGCUAGGUCCUGCAAAGGCCAUCGUUGAUGAGAAAAUGAAGCGGUUUGAGGGCCAAGCGAAGAAACUGGACAAGGCUUUGGAGCGACUCCAACAGGAAGGUCCAGCUGUUAAUGCGUGGAACUCUUUUGCGCCAGAGGUGGAAGCAGAGCGCCUGGAAUGUCUUGCUGCGCUGAAGGCCAUGAUGCCAAACGCAGCGGACGAGCGGGAUGAGCAGGAUGAUGUUCCUGCCUAUCAGGCUGACCUUUCCGGCGCCCCAGCACUGCCGGCCUUUGAAGCACCCCAGUUGAGUCCGGACUUUGUGAGGAGGAUGUACCGCAGUCUUAACAUCAUGCAGGCUUCCGUCUUCUAUGCCGUACGCGACUGGUGUUUGCAGCGCGUUUCUGAUCGCGACCUUGAGCCCUUUCAUUAUUUCAUCUCAGGGGGAGCUGGAUGUGGCAAGUCACAUGUCAUCAAGUGCAUUUACCAGGAGGCCACCAAGAUUUUUCGGCAGCUUCCUGGCAUUCGUACCGAUGCGGAUUUGUCUCAACCCACGGUUCUGUUGACGUCAUUUACCGGCACAGCUGCGUUCAACAUUUCUGGGAAAACCUUGCACUCGGUCUUGAAGCUCCCAAGAAGUUUGAGGCCUCCAUAUCAAGGACUCGGCAACGCGCUGGACACCUUGCGGGCGAGUCUUUCCAACGUGCAGAUUUUAAUCAUUGAUGAAAUAUCAAUGGUCUCCAAGGAUCUUUUUGCGUAUGUCCACUGGCGGUUCCAGCAAGUCAAGGGCAACCGGAAGACCUUUGGAGGGAUCUCUGUGCUUGUAGUUGGGGACUUUUACCAGCUGCCACCUCUUGGAAGGGCCAAACCCCUCUGUGUGUAUGAGGAUAAUGUCCUUGACCUCUGGACCAACUUUCAGUUGGUCCGACUUACGGAGAUCAUGCGACAGAAGGAGGACCUGACCUUUGCCCAGCUUUUGAACAGGGUAAGGGAAAAGAGGAAGGAGGAGCCCUUGUAUGAAAGUGACCGGGCUUUACUGCAGCAGGCUACUGUCGAAACAUCACAGUGUCACACCAGUACGCUCCACAUUUUUGCAACCAAUAAGGAGGUUGACGAACACAACCGUGCAACUGUGGCAGCUUUGAAACUGAAUGUGGUCGACAUUCCGGCAGAAAACUACAGAAAAGACCCCCGGACCGGACAAUUGGUCAUCGUGUCCAACAUGAUAACCGGGAGGAAAAGAGAUCUGCCCGACAACCUGCAAGCCGCUGUAGGAGCACGAGUCAUGAUCAUCCGGAACUUGGACAUUGAGGAUGGUCUCGUGAACGGCACCUUCGGGACCAUCAUGAACAUUGUCCGUGGACCACAGGGCGCUGUUACUUUUCUUGGCAUUUCUUUGGACAAUCCUGGAGCAGGCCUGAAAUUUCGGAAGAAACUUCAGGGACCCGGGGACGAUUUGGCCUACAUAGAAAAGUCAGAGGAAAGUUUAAGCAUCAAAGGACUGGUGAGGCGGCAAUUCCCGGCAAAACUGGCCUUUGGAUGCACGGCGCACAAAGUGCAAGGCAUGACGCUAUCUUCUGCGGUCGUAUCUCUGAAGCGCGUGUUUGAACCUGGAAUGGCCUACGUCGCUCUAAGUCGCACGACCUCGCUCCAGGGACUGAAGAUCAUGGACUUGGAUGAGAAGAAAAUAUAUGCUGAUCCCACCAUUGCUUUGGCAAUGGACAGCAUGUUGCACGCUUCUUUCUUGUCUGUCAGACCGCUGUUGCACUUUGAACAAGGGCCUUCUCCGACUUUGAAGAUUGUCCACCAUAACACAGAGGGCCUCGCGUGUCACAUGGAGGACAUCAAAUCUCAUCAUGAGCUGAGACUGGCUGAUGUGCUUUGUUUGACGGAAACCCAUUUGUCUGGUUCCAUCUCGCCACACUUGCAGCUGGAGGACUACGCUGUUUUUGUACGGAACAGACGUGUUUCCUGUUUAAACAGGCCAGACACGGCUGCGAAAGAGGGAGGCGGAGUUGCAGCCUACUGUCGGAGGGAACUUCAAGGCCAGCCCCUUCGGUUUGUCCAGAAUGUGCCAGACCUUGAAUUCUUGGUGGUUAAAGUCACGGUGCCGAUCCCGGCUGUGGUGGCUACUGUUUAUCGACCACCAAACUUGAGUCUGGGCACAUUUCUACCUAAUUUGACAAACCUCUUGGACACCUUGGCAAUGAUGGAAAGCCACCCCAUUGUUGUUUGUGGCGACUUCAACGAGGACCUGCUUUCAAAACGCAAGAAGCCUAUACUGGAGUUGUUUGAGUCCAGAGGCUAUACACAGCUCAUCGGCAAGGCAACAACUGAUCCUGGUCUGGUCUACACAUGCUGUCUUGUCCCCAAUGAACAUUUGCUUGCAAUGACCAUGUGGCCAUUUCUUCCCCUCCAUCCAUCCACGCCAUCUCACAUACGUAAGUACUCCGUGCUUGUGUCCUGAAGGCUAGGUAUGCUGUACCUCUGCUCAUGGGCUGCCUUUCAGAAAUGCUGCUGCACACGCUUUAGCCCCAACCGGAAGAUGUUGCUUUAUUAUAUGUAGUAGAUACAUACUCUAGUCAGAAUUACUGUAUUAUCUCUGAACGGGCAGUGUUGGCAUAGUCAUGUUCUCCAUGUUCUCAAUGUUCUCCCUAUUCCUGAAACUUCAUGUCACUUAUGAUGGAACAUUCUAAUAACUUGUCUCUCUCUCUCUCUCUCUCUCCCCUGUAGUAGGCACUAUUGCAUGAAUAGCCUGUUUGAGGCUGUUAUGUUCUACUCGGUCAUAGUAUUACUUUCAGCUUUUUCAAUUACUGUACUGACUUGUUACUAACUUGUCUCUCUUUCUCUCUCCCCUGUAGUAGGCACUGCUGCAUUGAAGACAUGAGAACAGUUAUUGGUAUCAGCGUUGCUGAUAUGUAGUCAUCGGACCGCUUUUUUUUCCGCAAUAUAUAAUAUAAAAGUAUAUACUGUUUGGGUGUGUGUGUGUGUAUAUACAGUAUCUAUAUGACAGUUACUAAUUUAUUUGACUAACUUGUCUCUCUUUCUCUCCCCUGUAGUAGGCACUGCUGCACAAAGAGCUGAGAACAGCAAAGCUCAAAGAUUUGUAUUAGUGGCAGUACAUUUUACACAAUAUAUAACAUGUAUAAAGUGUAUAUGUAUAUGACAGUUACUGAUAACAUUUGACUAACUUGUCUGUCUUUCUCUCCCCUGUAGUAGGCGCUGCUGCGUGAAAAGCAAAGCUCAUAGAUUUGUAGUAGUCGCAGUACUUUUCCGCAAUAUGUCACGUGGAGUCUAUACAGUAUAUUGGGGAUGCUCAGCAUAUGAAUAUCCCAGCUGACUUCCUGUGUGGAUAAAAAGCUGAUAGUGUCAGAUUUGUGAUUUGUGUGUUUUACAGCUACAGAGGAGAACAGGUUCAACUCGCAUUCUGAUACCAACUGCAGGACAUGACAGAAAAGGGAAAGGACAAUCCUUUACACAAACAUUUCCCGGACGUGUUAAUACUUCCUGUUCCUGUUUUAAUACGUAGUUACCUACCACAUACAUAUGUUCACUAUGCCUUUUUGUUCUCAAGCGUUUGCACCUUUAUGUAUAAAGACCAUUAUUAUGCAUAAUCAUGCUGUACCAAACAUUUUUCUAUUGUAACCUAAACGGUCGAGACAGACGGCUGCCCCACUGAGCCUGGGUUCUGUCCAAGGUUUCUUCCCAAGUGGGAGUUUUUCCUUGCCUCCGUUGCCAGGUGCUUGCUCAUGUGGGUUUCUGUUGUUCAUUUAUGAUAAACUUGAUAGACCAAACUAAUGAUGAUGAUGAUAAUAAUAAUGUGAACCAAAGUGCCUCGAGAUCACUUGUUUUGUUGUGAGUUGGUGCGAUAUGUCAUUGAACGCUUCUUUUAAUUACUGCUGGUUUUUUUUCUGAAAUAUUUGAUGUGCCUUGGGCCGCUGACCUAAACUGUUGAGUUACAUACGGGACAUGUUGCCUUGCUACAUGAAGUGUUUGUCAUUGAUUUUAUCUUUCUAUAUUACAGAAUAUUAUACAUCACAAUACUGUUCAUAACUGGUGUAAUUGUUGACAUUUUGACUUCAAGAAUUUAAGGCUUUGUUGCAUCUUGUGGUUCCUUUUUAAAUAAACUGU